UAACACGUAGGAGCCUAGCGUUAUCCGAAUUUACUGGGCGUAAAGCGCGUGUAGGCGGUUCGAUAAGUUGGAUGUGAAAGCUCCUGGCUCAACUGGGAGAGGUCGUUCAAUACUGUUGGACUUGAGGAUGGUAGAGGAAGGUGGAAUUCCCGGUGUAGUGGUGAAAUGCGUAGAUAUCGGGAGGAACACCAGUGGCGAAAGCGGCCUUCUGGACCAUUCCUGACGCUCAGACGCGAAAGCUAGGGGAGCGAACGGG
rnacentral:rRNA from 1 species